rnacentral:tmRNA from 1 species
GGGGCCGACUGGUUUUGACAGCGAGACCAAUUGGAAUAUAAGCAUGCCGAGCGCCGGUCAACAGCUCGUUAAUCUCAUUUUCCACACUUUUAAUUGGCGAUAAUAACUACGCUCUUGCCGCUUAAUCCGAAUUACAGUAGGAUUUAGCCUCGUUCCGACAAGGUCGGAAAGCGAGAUGUCCCUGAAUAGCCCUUGUUGGCGGCGAUUCUCAAAGGGGCACCAGAAAAGUCAACACAAGGGUAGCAUUCGCUUUGGUGCUACCACCAAAAUCUAAAGAAGCUAAGCGUUGGUUGGGCCGUUUCCGGUCAGGCCUGCGUCGAAAAUCAAUCGGAAACUAAGCAUGUAGAAAGUAUUGCGAUUGCUUGUUUGGACGAGGGUUCGAAUCCCUCCGGCUCCACCU